CCAGCUCCUAGAGUCCCUAGGUUGCCACUUACCCCCUCUUAUCCUUAGCUUAAGCUCAUCGGCCUGAGCUAAAUCGAUCCUCGGUGGCAACAAAACCCAUACCCUUAGCCUAAGUGGCAGGGAGUAAUAUUAUUCGAGUGCUUGGUGGGAUAGGGUUUUUCCUUGAAAGAACACCAUCACAUAAGUUUAGGUUGAAGUUCUUGACCUUGAGAGGGCUUGUGUUUCACUUUGUGUAGGUUUCCUCCAUGCCCCACGCAGAACAACAAAAGACAACCUCCACUCGGUGAUAGUUGGACUAUAAUAGCAGAAUGACCUCCACAAUUGUGAGAUCUGUAUCUUAUCAUAUCCCAACAAGCUCAAGAACGUGCGAAACAGUUAUCCCCAACCUCCCUCGCAUGUUCUUAAUGCCUUGGGAUCCAACCCUCAUCUACAUAAACUCUUUCCUAGGGAACCUCUAGAUAAGUCCACACAAGUCGAAUCAAGUCUAGACAAGACUUCCUAAGCCUAAAUCCUUCCGAAUACCCUCAAAUUCUUGGAAGCUCUCUAAAGUUCUAUCGAGUCUCUAGAAAAAUCUUUGAGUCACCGAGUCUCCACUCAUGAGCUCAGAGUACCCUACCAGUGGUGAUCCACCCAAAGGGUCUCUCAUAGUUCUAGACUGAGUGACAUCCCCUUGAGACUAUAUCUCUCCUAAACAUAGACCGUUCCUCUCUCCCACAGACUCAAGACUUCCACUCACAUGCACCGUUGAUUUGAUCUCAUCUCCUUCUACUUCUUUUAGAACUUCCUUUGUUCCAUCGAGGUAGACUAAUGCAUCAGAGGGUCCUCACUAGAAAACCCUCGGCAAGCGGACUUCCUUUGCUUUUGGUGUUUCAGCAUGCUCAAAAAAGUUGAAACAUAGUUUUGGACCUCUCCGACAGCUUUCCGACUUUCAACCAGCUCCUAGAGUCCCUAGGUUGCCAAUUACCGCCUCUUAUCCUUAGCUUCAGCUCAUCGGCCUGAGCUAAAUCGACCCUCGGUGGCAACAAAACCCAUACCCCUAGCCUAAGUAGCAGGGAGUAAUAUUAUUCGAGUGCUUGGUGGGAUAGGGUUUCCCCUUGAAAGAACACCAUCACAUAAGUUUAGGUUGAAGUUCUUGACCUUGAGAGGGCUUGUGUUUCACUUUGUGUAGGUUUCCUCCAUGCCCCACACAAAACAACAAAAGACAACCUACAAAUCAACAAUAUUAGCUAUUUUAUUCAAAAGCAAAUUAAAGCAAAAUUCUGCCAAAAUAACCCCACUCCAACAACCAAGACUAGGAAUUUGAAAAUAAUACAUUAAACAAAAUAGAGAUAAGCAAAAUAGUGCAAAGCCCAAGGGUAAUGAAAGGAAACCAGAAAAAUCCUAUCUUGAUCUUAGCCAAGCUUAUCCCUUUAAAUAUAUAUAAGAAAGUCAUCCAAUAUGGACUGACUCCAAGAUAGAGCUUUGCAGGAAGCAAUAACCCCCAAUAUCACUCCAAAUGUCCCCAUCCCACAGUUUUCCCAAAUGCAGUUUUACAAGCAUGACCAUAAU
rnacentral:lncRNA from 1 species